UAAUACGUAGGUGGCAAGCGUUGUCCGGAUUUAUUGGGCGUAAAGCGAGCGCAGGUGGUUUCUUAAGUCUGAUGUGAAAGCCCACGGCUCAACCGUGGAAGGUCAUUGGAAACUGGGGAACUUGAAUGCAGAAGAGGAGAGUGGAAUUCCAUGUGUAGCGGUGAAAUGCGUAGAUAUAUGGAGGAACACCAGUGGCGAAGGCGACUCUCUGGUCUGUUAUUGACACUGAGGCUCGAAAGCGUGGGGAGCAAACAGG
rnacentral:rRNA from 1 species